rfam:Haloquadratum sp. J07HQX50 genomic scaffold scf7180000001540, whole genome shotgun sequence.
GGGCUUGUGGUCUAGUGGUUAUGACGCUUCCCUUACAAGGAAGAGGCCGGCGGUUCGAGUCCGCCCGAGCCCA